GUCGCCUGGCCAGAUCUUGGCAUGUGCACGUCCCCUCACCUUUUCUAUCUACACACACCUGUGCACCUAUUGUAGAUCCCUCUCGAAAGAGAGGGAACUAUGUUUUCAUCACAUCACACACAACGUAUGUCUAGAAUGUAAAAAACAAUAUAUACAACUUUCAGCAACGGAUCUCUUGGCUCUCGCAUCGAUGAAGAACGCAGCGAAUUGCGAUAAGUAAUGUGAAUUGCAGAUUUCCAGUGAAUCAUCGAAUCUUUGAACGCACCUUGCGCUCCUUGGUAUUCCGAGGAGCAUGCCUGUUUGAGUGUCAUCGAAUUCUCAACCAUUCUCUCUUUUCUGGGAGUAUGGCUUGGACUUGGGGGUUGCUGGCAGCACUGUCAGCUCUCCUUAAAUGUAUUAGCAAUCGAGUUGGCUAGUCUUUCGACGUACACGGCCUCAGACGUGAUAAUGAUCGUCGUGGCUGGAGCGUCUUUCCUAGACUAUGUACAUAGAUCGCUUCUAAUCUGUCGUCUAUCGAGCUUAACUACUAGGCAGUCUUUUUGGCUGGCGAACGCAAGCGAGACAUUCACAUUCUCAGAGACUUGACCUCAAAUCAGGUAAGACUACCCGCUGAACUUAAGCAUAUCAAUAAAGCGGA
rnacentral:rRNA from 1 species